rnacentral:rRNA from 1 species
AUUGAACGCUGGCGGCAGGCUUAACACAUGCAAGUUGAGCGCUGAAGGUUGGUACUUGUACCAACUGGAUGAGCAGCGAACGGGUGAGUAACGCGUGGGGAAUCUGCCUUUGAGCGGGGGACAACAUUUGGAAACGAAUGCUAAUACCGCAUAAAAACUUUAAACACAAGUUUUAAGUUUGAAAGAUGCAAUUGCAUCACUCAAAGAUGAUCCCGCGUUGUAUUAGCUAGUUGGUGAGGUAAAGGCUCACCAAGGCGAUGAUACAUAGCCGACCGGAGAGGGUGAUCGGCCGCAUUGGGACUGAGGCACGGCCCAAAGUCCUACGGGAGGCAGCAGUAGGGAAUCUUCGGCAAUGGACGAAAGUCUGACCGAGCAACGCCGCGUGAGUGAAGAAGGUUUUCGGAUCGUAAAACUCUGUUGGUAGAGAAGAACGUUGGUGAGAGUGGAAAGCUCAUCAAGUGACGGUAACUACCCAGAAAGGGACGGCUAACUACGUGCCAGCCGCCGCGGUAA